CGGGACGGGUGAGUAAUGUCCGGAAACGUCGCCUGAUGGGGAGGGGGAAUCACUGGAAACGGUAGCUAAUACCGCAUAACGUCGCAAGACCAAAGAGGGGGACCUUCGGGCCUCUUGCCAUCGGAUGUGCCCAGAUGGGAUUAGCUAGUAGGUGGGGUAACGGCUCACCUAGGCGACGAUCCCUAGCUGGUCUGAGAGGAUGACCAGCCACACUGGAACUGAGACACGGUCCAG
rnacentral:rRNA from 1 species